AAGACAUAAGCUUUCCAUUGAUGUAUGGUCUGUUAGGCAUUAUUUAGCCGAAAAAGAAGUAUUUGAAAAUCUGAGUGCAAAAAAAUCUAAAUAUUGAGAAAAGCACUUUAAAAGUUGUCCAGAUGAAGUUCUUAGCAAUGCAUAUUACUAAUCAAAAAUUAUAUAUUUUUUAAUUAUAGUUUUUUAUAUACCAUAUGAAAUUUACAAAAUAUCUUCAUGGAACAUGAUCUUUACUUAAUAUCUUAAUGAUUUUUGGCAUAAAAGAAAAAUGUAUAAUUUUGACACAAUUUACUGUAUACAAAUAUACCCACUACUUAAGGUUUUGUGGUCCAGGGUCACAUAUAUUAACCAUUACCAUAGCUCAGGAUUCUCAGUGGCCCUUCUUUACAAGUGCAGUUGUAUCACUGGUAGAAUAAAAAAAAUACAGUCAAAUAUAAUUUAUGUAAAUUCAACAUUCAACCCGCGUUGGGGGGAAUAAAAGCGUAGCAACAGCUUAAAAACAGCCCAAUUCCGCGGGAAAACCGCGGACUUGGCAACCCUGAGUACAGACUCAUCUUGAAGUGCCGCGGAUAGGGGGCGUUCUGUAUCCGCGGGAAAUCCAAACACCUUCGUGUUGCGUUCAUAGACGAAAACGAAACACCGAACUUUAAACAACAAAUACGAAUGGAAUUCCAUAUGGAAAUCGUCAACUCAGCUAUAAUAAUUGGAUUUUUAUGCUGGCUUCUAAGAAUAGUCUGGAGAUUUCUGUGCUGCCGUGGACACAACUCUGACGUUCAGCUCUCAGUUGAAGAAACAGCGCCAUCUCUUGGUGCAAGCACUGUACGGCCAUGGAAUUAUGGUGAAGGUGGAGGUAUUUUCUGGACAGUUUAGGUAGGUGAGACACGGAACACUUGGAUCAAGAUUAAGAAGUAACUUUAAGUUUAGCACUUAUAAGAUGGAGGAUUGGCCCCCUUGAAAUCAUUGUUGCCCCAGCUACACCUGUUGCAAAUUCCCCAGAGGAGCCGAUGUCGAGGUGGGGCAGAGUUACUGGCGCUCUCGCCCCACGUUUGAGGGAGUUCUGGACCUACGUUGGGAUUGGUUUGGUCCAUGCAAAGCAGCAUUAGAGCACUAUCUUGUCUAUUUAAUGGUGAUAGGGAGCCCUGCCACAUGUUCUCGCUAAGAUUUAAUUUGACUAUCAGUGUUGAGAUUUCUGAUCUCAAAUGAAUUCAAUCACUUAUUUAUUCCUUCUUCAUCUUAAGCAAGAAUAUCAGGGAUGAUUUGCGAGUGUAAUAUUCCUUUUAUACCAAAGUUCAACAAAAGAAUAUUUAAGGCUGUUUAGUAAGUAUAUUUCCUUUAUUUCAAAGAAAAUAUUUCCAAAAGAAGCCAAAGCAUCAAGCCAUCAAAUUAUGUACAGAAUGAAUGUACAUGCUUUAUUGGAGCAUUUUCUUACUUCAUUAGUAUCUUACUUUUUGCGCCACUGCAUUUCAUUAAUAUUGUUCCUCACUCCACAUUCAUUUGAAGACAUGAUAGUCACGCCCACGGGCCGUUGGGUGAACGCACUGAUCUAUAUAUAAUGACUGAUCUGUUCUCUAUUAUAGAUCAGUGGGUGAACGUCUGAUGCAUAUCGCACAUUCUUUAAUUUUCUGUUUGGAAACAAAGAUGCCGGUAUGCCAAGCCCCCUCAUGAAAGAGAAAAGCUGUCAUGUUUACAACUUUGACGAUGAGCGCUUAUCAGGAUCAACUAAAUGCUGGAUUUUAAAAGUAUAUAAAAUAUUUUAAGUUCGCAGCAUAGAAUCUUUAAAAUAUGUCCCAGAGUUUUACACACUAGUCUGUUAUUGUGUGGACAGUUCCAUGCCCCAAACAUGAUGCGGCACAAAGCAAAAUGUGAUUGGUUCCCUGACUUCUAUUUGACGUCAUUUACAUCUGCAAAAUGUAGUUUCUAGGGUACGACCUGUCAGUCAUAUGGUCUCUUGGGCGGGUCUUGGCCAUUCAAAGCCAAGGUUCCCAGAUCUUCUGGCAUCAGUCUAAAGGUCUGUCUACAUGAGACUAGGUGCCCCCAACAUUGAGUUUGUGGAGAAUUUGACUGAAGACGUGAAAAGUAACUAAUGGAAAAUGUUGUUAUUGUUUUUUAAAGGGGUCAUGAACUGCCUUUUUUAUUAUUAUUUGUACCAUUCUCUGAUGUCCCUUUUUAAUGUUAUCAAGAUUUUUACAUCAAAAAACAUAAUUUAGAAGUAAAAGGCUUUUUUCUGUCCUGGUUUUGACCCCCCUCAUCAGAACGCUCUGUUUGAAUAGGCGUGGUGGAUUGUAGACUCAGAAGUAAACCCCCACUGCUAUGUUCGGCUAACAGUUGUGUAUGUUUAACAGUGUACAUCCUUCAUAGGUGAACGCUGCUGUGAUUGAGGUUAAAACACACAUAAAUAUUAAGCACAUAUCAAACGAUCUGUAGUAACAGACAAAGCAAAAGUGAGCACGUAAAAACUUUACUCACACUUGUCAGAUCCAAUAUAAUUGGCACAGCAUCGUCUUUUAGUUUUAAUCUUUCUGAAAAUUCCACAUCGAACUGUACCUUGUUUGUAAACGAAUCUACGGUAAAUUGUUGGAAGAUCAAAGGACUUUUAAUUUCUUAUUUCAUGACCCCUUUGAAUAAAAAUCAUAUUUAUGUUACAUGUAUGUAAGUUGUUUUUUUAACUAAAUCUAUUGUAAAAGAGUGAUCUGUUUAGACUGCUAUGAAAUGCUUAAAUGUAUAUAAAUCUGUAAUCAUUGAAAAUAAUGUUUUGUUAAAAUAAUAUAAAUCCAUGCCUAAUGUGUCUUCCCUACUGCCCUAGCAGUUUGAA